UGCGUAGGUGGUUUCUUAAGUCAGAAGUGAAAGGCUACGGCUCAACCGUAGUAAGCUUUUGAAACUGAGAAACUUGAGUGCAGGAGAGGAGAGUAGAAUUCCUAGUGUAGCGGUGAAAUGCGUAGAUAUUAGGAGGAAUACCAGUUGCGAAGGCGGCUCUCUGGACUGUAACUGACACUGAGGCACGAAAGCGUGGGGAGCAAACA
rnacentral:rRNA from 1 species